CCUUACGAGUAGGGCUACACACGUGCUACAAUGGCGCAUACAGAGGGCAGCCAACUUGCGAAAGUGAGCGAAUCCCAAAAAGUGCGUCGUAGUCCGGAUUGGAGUCUGCAACUCGACUCCAUGAAGUCGGAAUCGCUAGUAAUCGUGGAUCAGAAUGCCACGGUGAAUACGUUCCCGGGCCUUGUACACACCGCCCGUCACACCAUGGGAGUGGGCUGCAAAAGAAGUAGGUAGUUUAACCUUCGGGGGGACGCUUACCACUUUGUGGUUCAUGACUGGGGUGAAGUCGUAACAAGGUAGCGCUAGGGGAACCUGGCGCUGGAUCACCUCCUUAAACGAUGAUUA
rnacentral:rRNA from 1 species